GCAUUGGUGGUGUAACGGUUAGCAUGGUUGCCUUCCAAGCAGUCGAUCCCGGGUUCAACUCCCGGCCAAUGCA